rnacentral:rRNA from 1 species
CACGUAGGGGGCGAGCGUUGUCCGGAUUUAUUGGGCGUAAAGAGCUCGUAGGCGGCUCGGUAAGUCGGGUGUGAAAACUCAGGGCUCAACCCUGAGACGCCACUCGAUACUGCCGUGGCUUGAGUCCGGUAGGGGAGCGUGGAAUUCCUGGUGUAGCGGUGAAAUGCGCAGAUAUCAGGAGGAACACCGGUGGCGAAGGCGGCGCUCUGGGCCGGUACUGACGCUGAGGAGCGAAAGCGUGGGGAGCAAACAGG